rnacentral:rRNA from 1 species
AUGGACAGCGGCGAACGGGUGAGUAACACGUGAAUAACCUGCCCUUCAAUUGGGGACAACCUUUCUAACGAGAGGCUAAUACCGAAUAUCGUAAUCAUUCGCAUGUUUGAUUACAAAAGGCUUCGGCCGUUGAAGGAUGGAUUCGCGUCUGAUUAGUUUGUUGGUGAGGUAAUGGCUCACCAAGACUACGAUCAGUAGCCGGCCUGAGAGGGUGAUCGGCCACAUUGGGACUGAGAUACGGCCCAGACUCC